UGAACACAUAGGCUCCAGAUGAUAAACCC
rnacentral:piRNA from 1 species